UACGUAGGGUGCAAGCGUUGUCCGGAAUUAUUGGGCGUAAAGAGCUCGUAGGCGGUCUGUCGCGUCUGCUGUGAAAAUCAGGGCUCAACCCUGGACCUGCAGUGGGUACGGGCAGACUAGAGUGCGGUAGGGGAGAUCGGAAUUCCUGGUGUAGCGGUGAAAUGCGCAGAUAUCAGGAGGAACACCGAUGGCGAAGGCAGCUCUCUGGGCCUGUUCUGACGCUGAGGAGCGAAAGCUGGGGGAGCGAACAGG
rnacentral:rRNA from 1 species